rnacentral:rRNA from 1 species
GAUGAACGCUGGCGGCGUGCCUAAUACAUGCAAGUCGAGCGAACGGACGAGAAGCUUGCUUCUCUGAUGUUAGCGGCGGACGGGUGAGUAACACGUGGAUAACCUACCUAUAAGACUGGGAUAACCUCGGGAAACCGGAGCUAAUACCGGAUAAUAUUUUGAACCGCAUGGUUCAAAAGUGAAAGACGGUCUUGCUGUCACUUAUAGAUGGAUCCGCGCUGCAUUAGCUAGUUGGUAAGGUAACGGCUUACCAAGGCAACGAUGCAUAGCCGACAUGAGAGGGUGAUCGGCCACACUGGAACUGAGACACGGUCCAGACUCCUACGGGAGGCAGCAGUAGGGAAUCUUCCGCAAUGGGCGAAAGCCUGACGGAGCAACGCCGCGUGAGUGAUGAAGGUCUUCGGAUCGUAAAACUCUGUUAUUAGGGAAGAACAUAUGUGUAAGUAACUGUGCACAUCUUGACGGUACCUAAUCAGAAAGCCACGGCUAACUACGUG